rnacentral:lncRNA from 1 species
ACCACAUAUGUUAGCCUGCUGGAGGACGACAGCCAGCCAACCUCCAGACAUAUUGUCUAACCAGACUGGAUUCUGUCAAAGCAGAUGUGUCUAAGAUGCUAGAAAUGAAUGCAUACCAAAGGACACAAUUGAAUAAUGCUGGACAGAGAAUUCUGCAAGACAGUCUGCCUAGCCAGAGUAGCAAGGGAAGGCACCGAGUCAGCUACUGAGAAUGAAUUUUGAAACAGAGACUUGUCAAAGGCAUAGAAAAAUUGCAAAAGUGGCAACAACAUUUAUGGUAAUUACAUAGGAUCCACAGAGCACUUUCACAUCAGCUAUCUCAUUUAACCCUCAAGAUGCCUCAGAGAUGACAGGAAGCAUGGACAUGCAUUGAGUCACUUGACUUGGCCAAGAUGUAUUGGCAAGUUGAAGUAUAUUGGGAGCUGGGAAUGACCAUUUUCCUCCAUUCAUAUGGACAUCUUAUAAUCAUUUCUUAAUAUACCUUUACUGUAGAGCCUUCACUGCAUCCCCACUUCUCAAAAUUUCUGUGUGUUGACUUCAAAGUAAUUCAUUAUUGCCCACAUGCCAUCUGGCUGAGCUUCUUUCCCACUGUUUCUUGGUACUUCCCCACCACUUUUCUAGGCUCCAUACCAAAGUGCCACAAGCACUCCACAGUCAUUCACACAUGUGUCCUCACCACUCCAACCCCCUAGCCUACCACUCUGUCACCUCUCUUCACCCAAGACUUUGCUCAAAUACCAUUUCUUCCAGAAAGGUUGUCUGACUGCUUCAUCCUUACCGGUCAUCUUUGUUUUCUGAACAACUAGAACACUAGCGUUUUAAGCAUAUAACCAGAACACAUGCCUAGAUAUUGUUUUAAAUGGCUUCAUGUAUUCCUGUGUGUUUGCUUUUGCUUUUUAAACUAGACAACUUCAGGGCAGAGAUCGCGCCCUACCUCUCCUCAUGAUCCUCCAGGGUGCUUCAUUCUGUGUCAAGCUCACAAUAGUGCUGAACACACUUGUUCUUUGAUUAAUCCCCCUUCUUUCUAUUAUGGGUAUAUGUUGAGAAAAAACCUUAGGGGGACAGAUUAAAAUCUGCAGGGUUUGAUACAAUAGAAUUUCAGGAGUAAGUUCAAAUCAUUCCCUUGACAGCUGCCUGCAUAAUAUCCCCUUCAUUAUUUUUUAAAGUCAGUUUAUAUUUUAAUGCAGCAAUAGAAUAUUGGACAGCUCCCAAAAGUAAAAUUGUCAUCAAAGAGAAACUCCUCACUUUAAGACUAAAAAAAGCCUGAAUUAUGUGGGGUAGGUAAGGGGCCGGGAGAAUAAUGAGUGAUGGUUGCUCUCAAAACAGCUCUCACUGAAAAAGCCAUCCCCAGAUUGGAAGACCUGGCCCUUGUUCUUGCUUUUCCAAAUUGUCCCAUGACCCCAAGAAAAUCAGUCAGCAGUUUUCUGAGUGUCCAAUGAAAUAUAAUAUCUUGCUAUAUGCAUGCAUACUGUUGUAACUUGUUCACUCUACAGUACAAUUCCCAGACAUAUCCUUCUAUGUGGUCUCCUGACUCCAACCUUGCCCCUUUAAUCCAUUUUUCUUCCCGAAACCAGCAUCAUUUCUCUAAAAGGCCCACAUGACACAUCAUCUGCCUGUUGAAAUCCCUCAAUGACUUGUCGUCACUUUAUAGUCCAUGCUCAUUAGCAUAGUUUUAUAAGGUUUUUUAUGAUCUGUUUCCACUUACUUCUACCUCUUCCUUCUCCUGUCCCCCAAGACUCAACAUCUUUUAUUUAUUGCAACUUACAUUGCACUGUCUCUUCUCCAAGCUUCCACACAUGAUAUCUCUAGCAAGAACACUCUGCUCAUCUCCAAAUCUUCAGUAUAACUUCUUAUUUUUUGGACCUCAACUUAGACAUCCUUUCCUCCCUGAAGCUGUCCUGACUCCAAUUUCAUAUUAGCUUCCCAGUUUUUAUUCUCUAAUAUGCACUCUUUAUUUCCCCCACUGUAGCACAGAUCACACUGGAUUAUAAUUUCCCAGUCACUUUUCUGUAACCCUUCAAGACUAAACGUCUUUUGGUUAGGGUCUGUGUGUAUCUUUUUAACGGUGCUAUUUCCAGAUUCUAGCAUAGUUCUUAGCCCAUGGUAUAGAUAAUUAGUAAGUCGUUGUGAAGGGAAGCAAGGAAGAAAGAGAGGUGAGAAGGAAAGGGGGAGUCAGAAAAAAAGCAAAAAAAGAAUGAAGGGAGGGAAGAGAGAAAGGGAAAUUAUCAUUUCUGGGGCAAACACAUCAAUGCCAUUGUUUUCCAAAAGAUAUAAGGGGCCAUUUCCUGGGUGACAAGAGAGUGAACUCACCAGUUCCUCUUGCUGAAAACUCUAAAACUUCCUCCAGGAAUGAAGUACAGCUAUGAAGUUCCUAGAUUCAAAGCAGAUGCUAUUUCUAGCAAAGGAUGUACAAAUGGAUAAUAUGUUAGUAAUAAGCUCUGUAGGUGUGAACAUGGAAUCCUAAUGCUGCCCAAAAAUGGAGGGGGAUUUAUUUUGAUAUCUGAAAC